rnacentral:tRNA from 1 species
UUUCUUUAUAGUUUAAAUAAAAUUUUAAUUUUGUAAAUUAAAGAUAGUUUUAAAAUAAAUUUAGAACGAAAA